rnacentral:tmRNA from 1 species
GGGGAUGUUUUGGAUUAGACAGGAUGUUCCGAUUGAGGCAGGUUGCGAGUACGAGAGCUGUUCUCGGUUAUCAACGAGCAAACAAAUUAAGUGCUAAUAACACUAUUGAUGCCACAGAUGCAUUCACAAGAAGAUAUGCAUUAGCUGCCUAAUUGCAGUUGGCCACUCAUGCCGCCCAGCUUGCCGGUUGUAUGGGUAAAAUAUGCAAGACGCAGUACGGUAAUGGCAGUAGCCGUAUCAAGAUAACUGCCAAAGGUUUAGAGUUUCCUUCAAAUAAAACCUAGGGCUGAAUUAUAGGGUAGUGAUUUCUCCUGAUUCAGUUGAGCGAAUGAAAAUCUACACUCGUAGAGAUUUGUUUUAAUCCAUUUUGGACAGGGGUUCGACUCCCCUCAUCUCCACCA